UACGGGGGGGAGCAAGCGUUGUUCGGAUUUACUGGGCGUAAAGGGCGCGUAGGCGGCCACCGCAAGUCGACUGUGAAAUCUCCGGGCUUAACUCGGAAAGGUCGAGCCGAUACUGCGGGGCUAGAGUGCAGAAGGGGCAACUGGAAUUCUCGGUGUAGCGGUGAAAUGCGUAGAUAUCGAGAGGAACACCGAUGGCGAAGGCAGGUCUCUGGGCAUUAACUGACGCUGAGGAGCGAAAGCAUGGGGAGCGAACAGG
rnacentral:rRNA from 1 species